rnacentral:rRNA from 1 species
CACGUAGGGUGCGAGCGUUGUCCGGAAUUAUUGGGCGUAAAGAGCUCGUAGGCGGUGUGUCGCGUCGGCCGUGAAAACCUGCAGCUUAACUGUGGGCUUGCGGUCGAUACGGGCAUCACUGGAGUUCGGCAGGGGAGACUGGAAUUCCUGGUGUAGCGGUGAAAUGCGCAGAUAUCAGGAGGAACACCGGUGGCGAAGGCGGGUCUCUGGGCCGGAUACAUGACGCUGGAGACGCGAAAGCCGUGGGGAGCAAACAGG